AUCUUCCGCAAUGGGCGAAAGCCUGACGGAGCAACGCCGCGUGAGUGAUGAAGGGUUUCGGCUCGUAAAACUCUGUUAUUAGGGAAGAACAAAUGUGUAAGAAACUGCCCACAUCUUGACGGUACCUAAUCAGAAAGCCACGGCCAACUACGUGCCAGCAGCCGCGGUACUACGUAGGUGGCACGCGUUAUCCGGAAUUAUUGGGCGUAAAGCGCGCGUAGGCGGUUUCUUAAGUCUGAUGUGAAAGCCAACGGCUCAACCGUGGAGGGUCAUUGGAAACUGGGAAACUUGAGUGCAGAAGAGGAAAGUGGAAUUCCAUGUGUAGCGGUGAAAUGCGCAGAGAUAUGGAGGAACACCAGUGGCGAGGGCGACUUUCUGGUCUGUAACUGACGCUGAUGUGCGAAAGCGUGGGGAUCAAACA
rnacentral:rRNA from 1 species